rnacentral:rRNA from 1 species
UGGGGAAUAUUGCACAAUGGGGGAAACCCGUGAUGCAGCGACGCCGCGUGAGUGAAGAAGUAUUUCGGUAUGUAAAGCUCUGUCAGGCAGGGAAGAAAAUGACGGUACCUGACCAAGAAGCCCCGGCUAACUACGUGCC